GGCGGGGCGGAGAAAGGGGAGCGAAGCGGAACCUUCCUCCCCGCCCUCGGGCACCUGUAACGCCUCAGCCCGGAUCCCCUCACCCCGGCCUCCGCCCGGCUGAAAACUCGGACCGCCGAGGCGGGAGAGGGGCGACCUGCGAGAGCUCCCGCCUCCCCUGGCCCCCGCUGAGGCGAGGCCGGCGGCAACGCCUCGCUUCGCGCCACACCCAGGCGGUCCGUUAGCGGUUGAGUUUGGGUUAUUUAUGUAUUUUCACGGAGAAGGGGGCAGUUAACCUGGGGGCUGAACGGCGCUCGUUCUUCACCGGCAGUUCUUCCUGCCAGCUGGCCGAAGCAGUUGCUAUUCUCCAAAUUCCUCAAACUCUUCCUUAUCCCUCAGUCAGCACAUCAGACUGCAUAGAGUGCAGCAUUGGUGUGGCCUCCCCUCGAGCGCUGUGUGCAGUUUUGGGCUUCACAAUGUAAGAAGGAUGUGAAAAUAUUAGAUUGUGUCCAAAGGAGUGCAACAAAGAUGGUGAGAGGACCAGAGGACAUGACUUCUGAGGAGUGUCUGAGGAUACUCGGUGUGUUCAGCUUGGAGAAGAGGAGCCUGAGGGAUGUGCACUACAGUGGAUGCAAGUACACUUUCUGGGUAGCUGCUCUAAGAAACACCCAGUGAGGUUGGAGGGUAUCGCGUACCUGGACAUUUCUCAUGAGCAUGUGGGAGUCCAGGGCCUCCAAGGAACGCAGAUGCCAAAUCAUCGCCUGUGCGCCUUAUCCCAGAGGACGGAGGGAAGCCUGACUCGUGUUGCAGUACAACCUACAAUGGAAGGAUCUUCAGCUUUUUUCCCAUCUGGACCAGUUCCUUUCAGCACAAUGAUGCACAAACACUGCUUUCGGGCUGAACCAGUACGUAAUUUGGACUAAGAAGAGUCGCUUAAAAGCCAAGUGAAUCCCAACUGUUGCUGAGUUGUAUCACUGCAUCAGCAUUACACUUUGUGGUCUUGUGCCUGAAAUCCCUUAGGAGGUGAGGUCCUUCUUUCUGGGCUAUAAUUUUAUCAGAAUAACGGGGAACACAGUACCUUUUCAUAGCUGGGAAUAAACAAUUAGACUUAAACCUAAUUAACAUUGACAACUUUCUCUAGCUAUGCAGUUUAUAAUCAUCUUAGAAGCAAGCUGCUCAGCACUUCCUAGAAGAAUACUCUUAGGUGAGGUAGUUGGUUGGAAGUAUUUUCUGAAAUAAAAGUUGGCAUACCACUUUAUGGUCUCGAACCCUGGACCAGGAUUUGUUUUCCUUCGUUUCUAAGUCUCGGUGUUUAUUGGAUUGCAAGAUCUAGCUUUCAAAUUUAGUUAACAUUUUGGUGUGCAGUAACUUUACAAAAUAUGUUUAAAAUUUCAAGGUAAGUAUUGAUGUGCUUUUUGAACAACUAUUAACAUUACUUUCCUUGUUAGGAAGCAGCAGCACAUCUGUUCUUCCCGCAUUAAAUAAGGAGAAUGGAUGGUAGCAGCUCUUCCUGAUACAAUCUGAACAGGGAGCCUCUGAACCUAGCAGGACACCGCAUAGCAUGUAUUUUUAAAAGCUUAAUGCACCAUGAGAUUUCUUAACUGAAAUGAAUAAUGGUAAACAAAACCAAACCUUUCAGUGGUUUAGAAUUGAUUACUACUCCUAUUUGUCUCCUUUAAAUGGAAAAUAAACACUUAAAGUAUUAAGAGUUACCACUAUAAAUUUACUGCAGACUCACUAGUUAAAAAAGAACGGAUCACACACUGUAAUUUUCCGAUAAACACAUCUAAACCUAGACAGGGGACAUGAGGCUUCUGAUAAACUGUUCUGUAUAAUGAAAUGAGUUAAUGGCUCUAUUUGUUUUUAACCCUGUCCUAUCACUUCACAGUGUAAAUGAAGCCUUUGAAGGGCUGAUUUUUGCUUUAGCAUUUGAAUGAAAUUAAAAUGAAAAAGACUUGUAAGUAUGUGUAAUGGAAAAAACACACAACAACAAAGCUUUAUUAGAAUGGUCAAAUACUAUUUCUUAAUUCCUGUAGAGUAUCACUGGAGGAAACUGGAAUAUGCAGAAAACAAAACCAAGAAACUUCAGUCUGUCUCCAACCUACCUCACUUUGUAUCAAAAUAACCUUCAGGAAAGAUUUUAUACAGCAGUAUUGCAUAUAUUGCAGAAAACAAUGUAGUCUCAUUGCAGAAUAUAAGAAACAGUUUUCAAUUAAUUCUACAAUGUAACUUACUAAAAGAGAUAAAGGAAAACAUAAGGUAUUCAAUUUAGAAUUCUGUCCAGAAACCACUGACUUUCUAUCCUGUUUUCCUUUAAAUAAGUAAACACAUUUUUACAUGCAAAAUAAAAAGUUGUCUGCUUA